UUACAAGCGUUGAAGGGAAUAAAGAUACACUCCCGCGCAUACAGAGAGUCGGCGGUCGCUGCGAGCCGAUUGCGUAAGUGUAAUGAUAAGUCCUCCCGGAGCUGCCGGUUGAACGUAUAAGAUACGAGUAGAUCAGGUCGGGACCUCCCGUUACAGAGGAUCGUGUUGAUAGACAUGAACAGAGUGGGUUAUAUGACCAAGAAGAGUGGUACCGCGGGAUAUAUAUUUUUCUCGUCUCUUUC
rnacentral:ncRNA from 1 species